UGGGGAUUAUUGCACAAUGGGCGCAAGCCUGAUGCAGCCAUGCCGCGUGUAUGAAGAAGGCCUUCGGGUUGUAAAGUACUUUCAGCGGGGAGGAAGGGAGUAAAGUUAAUACCUUUGCUCAUUGACGUUACCCGCAGAAGAAGCACCGGCUAACUCCGUGCCAGCAGCCGCGGUAAUACGGAGGGUGCAAGCGUUAAUCGGAAUUACUGGGCGUAAAGCGCACGCAGGCGGUUUGUUAAGUCAGAUGUGAAAUCCCCGGGCUCAACCUGGGAACUGCAUCUGAUACUGGCAAGCUUGAGUCUCGUAGAGGGGGGUAGAAUUCCAGGUGUAGCGGUGAAAUGCGUAGAGAUCUGGAGGAAUCCCGGUGGCGAAGGCGGCCCCCUGGACGAAGACUGACGCUCAGGUGCGAAAGCGUGGGGAGCAAACAGG
rnacentral:rRNA from 1 species